UGGGGAAUUUUGCACAAUGGGCGCAAGCCUGAUGCAGCGACGCCGCGUGAGGGAUGAUGGCCUUCGGGUUGUAAACCUUUUUCGCUCAUGGUCAAGCCGCAGCUUUGGGUUGUGGUGAGGGUAGUGGGUAAAGAAGCGCCGGCUAACUACGUGCCAGCAGCCGCGGUAAUACGUAGGGCGCGAGCGUUGUCCGGAAUUAUUGGGCGUAAAGGGCUUGUAGGCGGUUGGCCGCGUCUGCCGUGAAAUCCUCUGGCUUAACUGGGGGCGUGCGGUGGGUACGGGUUGACUUGAGUGCGGUAGGGGAGACUGGAAUUCCUGGUGUAGCGGUGGAAUGCGCAGAUAUCAGGAGGAACACCGGUGGCGAAGGCGGGUCUCUGGGCCGUUACUGACGCUGAGGAGCGAAAGCGUGGGGAGCGAACAGG
rnacentral:rRNA from 1 species